rnacentral:rRNA from 1 species
UGGGGAAUAUUGGACAAUGGGCGAAAGCCUGAUCCAGCCAUGCCGCGUGAGUGAUGAAGGCCCUAGGGUUGUAAAGCUCUUUCAGUGGGGAAGAUAAUGACGGUACCCACACAAGAAGCCCCGGCUAACUUCGUGCCAGCAGCCGCGGUAAUACGAAGGGGGCUAGCGUUGUUCGGAAUUACUGGGCGUAAAGCGCGCGUAGGCGGAUUGGUCAGUUGGGGGUGAAAUCCCGGGGCUCAACCCCGGAACUGCCUCCAAUACUGCCAAUCUCGAGUUCUGGAGAGGUGAGUGGAAUUCCGAGUGUAGAGGUGAAAUUCGUAGAUAUUCGGAGGAACACCAGUGGCGAAGGCGGCUCACUGGCCAGCAACUGACGCUGAGGUGCGAAAGUGUGGGGAGCAAACAGGAUUAGAUACCCCCGUAGUCC